CCUGAGUCGGCUUGGGGAACCUGUGAAUUUGAUUCACAGCACUGCACAAGGACCCUGGGCACCUGAGGGCUGUAAAUUGUACAGAAAAGAGGCACCCAGAACUCAUCCAUUAAAGGCUCUGCUAGAUUUGCAGGUGUGGAUUAAAGUGAGAGGGCAGAUGCUUUACCAAGUAACCACUCCACAUUACCCGCUUACAGUUAACCCUCAGACCUCUGCUGUUUUCAUUCAAACACUGGGUUUAUUUCAGAUAGUAGUUAACAUAUAAAAUAUCAACUGAAUGAAGAAGAAAGAAGGCAAACUGCCUCCAAGGAGUUCUCAAGCCCAAACGUGUUGGCUUUGGUGACUAAAGACCACCAAGUAGCGCAGCCAUCAUCCCUGACUAUGUGGCAUCAGCUCCACAAUGGUGUGUGCUCGCAGUUCAUCUGGGAUAUAUUUCUUAAGGACUUAAUUGUUUUGUAUAUUUAGUGAUAAUGAUUUAAGAACUAUUAGCUACCUGAACUGUUUAUGAGCAACAGUACUUCUUUUAAAGCUUGAAACUGGCUUGAUUUGCUCAUUUCCUAAACAUGCCAAUCAUGGUGAUGUCCAAUUCCACAAAUCAUAUAUGAAACCCUGUAUUAAUUUGUAAUACUAAGGAUCUGAGUCUUUGUACUUGUUGAUUUCAUUAUCAUUUUUCAUGAGUUAGCCAGUUAAUGAUUAGUAAUCUUUACAAGGAAUAAAAAAAUUAGGUUGCUGGUUUUCCAGGUUGCUGGUGCUGCUGUUACUGUUACCAAAUUCUUCCCAGUUUCUAUUGUUCUGUCUCCAUGUGUGACUAUCCUGUUUGUGAAAUAAUAAAAUUUCACAUCUUGUCUUUGUUGUCUUACUGCACAAAUAAUAUCUAAAUGUUAAACCUAAAAUAAAUGCAAUAUAUAUAUUUUA